UUUUUUGAGAAUUUGAUCCUGGUUCAGGACGAACGCUGGCAGUGUACCUUAAGCAUGCAAGUCGAACGGUGAAACACUUGGCCGCAAGGCCUUGUGUGGAGCAGUGGCAGACGGGUGAGGAAAGACAGGAAUCUACCUUUUUGUGGGGAAUAGCUGGCCGAAAGGCCAAUUAAUACCGCAUAAGUCCGCAAGGAGAAAGGCCUUAACCGGCCGCAGAAAGAUGAGCCUGUUCGCUAUCAGCUAGUUGGUGAGGUAAUGGCUCACCAAGGCUAUGACGGCUAGGGGGCGUGAGAGCGUGGCCCCCCACAAU
rnacentral:ncRNA from 1 species